UGCUCCCGGAUGUUAGCGGCGGACGGGUGAGUAACACGUGGGUAACCUGCCUGUAAGACUGGGAUAACUCCGGGAAACCGGAGCUAAUACCGGAUAGUUCCUUGAACCGCAUGGUUCAAGGAUGAAAGACGGUUUCGGCUGUCACUUACAGAUGGACCCGCGGCGCAUUAGCUAGUUGGUGGGGUAAUGGCUCACCAAGGCGACGAUGCGUAGCCGACCUGAGAGGGUGAUCGGCCACACUGGGACUGAGACACGGCCCAGACUCCUACGGGAGGCAGCAGUAGGGAAUCUUCCGCAAUGGACGAAAGUCUGACGGAGCAACGCCGCGUGAGUGAUGAAGGUUUUCGGAUCGUAAAGCUCUGUUGUUAGGGAAGAACAAGUGCGAGAGUAACUGCUCGCACCUUGACGGUACCUAACCAGAAAGCCACGGCUAACUACGUGCCAGCAGCCGCGGUAAUACGUAGGUGGCAAGCGUUGUCCGGAAUUAUUGGGCGUAAAGGGCUCGCAGGCGGUUUCUUAAGUCUGAUGUGAAAGCCCCCGGCUCAACCGGGGAGGGUCAUUGGAAACUGGGAAACUUGAGUGCAGAAGAGGAGAGUGGAAUUCCACGUGUAGCGGUGAAA
rnacentral:rRNA from 1 species